AGCCGAAACAGGGGGGACAGUUCCCUGUCUGCCGGAAAUGGUCAACCGGCACUGAUGAGGCAGACCGGA
rnacentral:hammerhead_ribozyme from 2 species